AACGAACGCUGGCGGCAUGCCUAACACAUGCAAGUCGAACGAUUGCCUUCGGGUGAUAGUGGCGCACGGGUGCGUAACGCGUGGGAAUCUGCCCUUAGGUUCGGAAUAACAGCUGGAAACGGCUGCUAAUACCGGAUGAUAUCGCGAGAUCAAAGAUUUAUCGCCUGAGGAUGAGCCCGCGUUGGAUUAGGUAGUUGGUGGGGUAAAGGCCUACCAAGCCGACGAUCCAUAGCUGGUCUGAGAGGAUGAUCAGCCACACUGGGACUGAGACACGGCCCAGACUCCUACGGGAGGCAGGAGUGGGGAAUAUUGGACAAUGGGCGCAAGCCUGAUCCAGCAAUGCCGCGUGAGUGAUGAAGGCCGUAGGGUUGUAAAGCUCUUUUACCCGGGAAGAUAAUGACUGUACCGGGAGAAUAAGCCCCGGCUAACUCCGUG
rnacentral:rRNA from 1 species